rnacentral:rRNA from 1 species
GAUGAACGCUGGCGGCGUGCCUAACACAUGCAAGUCGAGCGAUCUUCUUCGGAAGAGAGCGGCGGACGGGUGAGUAACGCGUGGGUAACCUGCCCUGUACACACGGAUAACAUACCGAAAGGUAUGCUAAUACGGGAUAACAUACUUUUAUCGCAUGGUAGAAGUAUCAAAGCUCCGGCGGUACAGGAUGGACCCGCGUCUGAUUAGCUAGUUGGUAAGGUAACGGCUUACCAAGGCGACGAUCAGUAGCCGACCUGAGAGGGUGAUCGGCCACAUUGGAACUGAGACGCGGUCCAAACUCCGACGGGAGGCAGCAGUGGGGAAUAUUGCACAAUGGGCGAAAGCCUGAUGCAGCAACGCCGCGUGAGCGAUGAAGGCCUUCGGGUCGUAAAGCUCUGUCCUCAAGGAAGAUAAUGACGGUACUUGAGGAGGAAGCCCCGGCUAACUACGUGCCAGCCGCCGCGGUAACAC